rnacentral:rRNA from 1 species
GACGUGACUUCAGAGUUUGAUCCUGGCUCAGAUUGAACGCUGGCGGCAGGCUUAACACAUGCAAGUCGAACGGUAACAGGGAUUAGCUUGCUAAUCUGCUGACGAGUGGCGGACGGGUGAGUAAUGCUUGGGAAUCUAGCUUAUGAGGGGGAUAACUACUGGAAACGGUAGCUAAUACCGCGUAAUGUCUUUGGACUAAAGGGUGGGACUUUCGGGCCACCUGCCAUAAGAUGAGCCCAAGUGGGAUUAGCUAGUUGGUGAGGUAAAGGCUCACCAAGGCGACGAUCUCUAGCUGGUCUGAGAGGAUGACCAGCCACACUGGAACUGAGACACGGUCCAG